ACUGUACUACGUUUCUUCCAUAUCAGUUGACCCCCCAAAUUGGUGCCAAAUAAAGCUGCCCAAUAGGAAAUAGUACAUGCACAACUCAUCUUCCUUACAUAGUAAUACUUGACUCGGUUUAAUCGGUUUAACUGAUUGACUUGAAGUUGAAUCAUUGACUAGCCUAUAUAGUUAGAGUACACCGUUAGACUUUAUUUGAACAGUUACUUACUGCAUACAUUAACGGUAUGAUACUGUAUUGUUAUGUUCUAAAUUCUGGUACAAUAAUCCAGAUGGACCCAGAGAAACUGAAAACUGCAAAAAAAGUGCCAAUGUGUCCUCUAAACAACGAGUUCGAGGGGCAUUAUCACCUUUAUACAACAGGUUACCAACAUAUUCAAACAUACACUAAUGUUCAAAAGUUUGGGGUCAAACAAAUGUUCUUGUUUUUGAAUGAAAAGCUAAUGUUUUGACCAUGAAAAUAACAUCAAAUUGAUCCGAAAACAUUGUUAAUGUUGUAAAUGACUAUUGUUGCUGGAACACAAGUCUCAACGUCAACAGUGAAGAGGCGACUCCGGGAUGCUGGCCUUCUAGGCAGUUCCUCUGUCCAGUGUCUGUUCUUUUGCCCAUCUUAAUCUUUUAUUUUUAUUGGCCAGUCUGAGAUACGGCUUAUUCUUUGCAACUCUGCCUAGAAGACGAGCAUCCCGGAGUCGCCUCUUUACUGUUGACCUUGACUGGUGUUUUGCAGGUGCUAUUUAAUGAAGCUGCCUGUUGAGGACUGGUGAGGCGUCUGUUUCUCAAAUAUCCACUCUAAUGUACUUGUCCUCUUGUUCAGUUGUCCCCCGGGGCCUCCCACUCCUCUUUCUAUUCUGGUUAGAGCCAGUUUGCACUGUUCUGUGAAGGGAGUAGUACACAGCGCUGUACGAGAUCUUCAGUUUCUUGGCAAUUUCUUGCAUGGAAUAGCCUUCAUUUCUCAGAACAAGAACAGACUAACGAGUUUCAGAAGAAACUGUCGUAUAUAUAUCAAGAAGAGUGUGCAGGGAUAUGGGGAGCGAGCACCAGCAGGUGUCUCCAGGCCUUCUGCAGGGAUAUGGGGAGGGAGCACCAGCAGGUGUCUCCAGGCCUUCUGCAGGGAUACGGGGAGGGAGCACCAGCAGGUGUCUCCAGGCCUUCUGCAGGGAUACGGGGAGGGAGCACCAGCAGGUGUCUCCAGGCCUUCUGCAGGGAUACGGGGAGGGAGCACCAGCAGGUGUCUCCAGGCCUUCUGCAGGGAUAUCGGGAGGGAGCACCAGCAGGUGUCUCCAGGCCUUCUGCAGGGAUAUGGGGAGGGAGCACCAGCAGGUGUCUCCAGGCCUUCUGCAGGGAUACGGGGAGGGAGCACCAGCAGGUGUCUCCAGGCCUUCUGCAGGGAUAUGGGGAGGGAGCACCAGCAGGUGUCUCCAGGCCUUCUGCAGGGAUACGGGGAGGGAGCACCAGCAGGUGUCUCCAGGCCUUCUGCAGGGAUACGGGGAGGGAGCACCAGCAGGUGUCUCCAGGCCUUCUGCAGGGAUACGGGGAGGGAGCACCAGCAGGUGUCUCCAGGCCUUCUGCAGGGAUAUGGGGAGCGGGUGCUUUAUCAUGCAGAGGUCCGCUGGCUUUCCGGGGGUAAACUGUUGGGACGCUUUUAUGAGCUUCGAACAUUUAGAUUGUUAGGAAUGGCUCGCCCAUGUUGCCUAUCUGGUGGUUAUGUUUGAUAAUCUGAAUUUGCUCAAUGUGUCAAUGCAAGUGAGGGGGUACAAUAGAUUUGAAUGGACCAAAAUGAAAAACUUGCUACGAACAUUGUGUAAUAUGUCACUGCAAUGGGUAAUUGGAUUUCAGUAACAUUUUUGGUACUAUCAAAUGGAUUACCGUCAAAUGGAUUACAGUAGCUGUACUGCUAAAUAAAUUGAGGCCAGUAAGUUACUGUACAUUUUACAGGAAAUAUUUUACAGUGUACGUUAGUGUUAGUAUCCCAAUCCAAAGUAACUGUUCUGUACUUUACAGCAUGUGUCAAAUUCAUUCCAAUGCAGGGCCGAGUGUCUGCAGGUGUUUGCUUCUCUCUUGUACUUGAUUGCUGAAUUUAAAAAAAUAAAAAAAAACUUUAUUUAACCAGGCAAGUCAGUUAAGAACAUAUUCUUAUUUUCAAUGACGGCCUAGGAACAGUGGGUUAACUGCCUGUUCAGGGGCAGAACGACAGAUUUGUACCUUGUCAGCUCGGGGGUUUGAACUCACAACAUUCCGGUUACUAGUCCAACGCUCUAACCACUAGGCUACCCUGCCGCCCCAAGUAAGGUCAUAAUUAAUAAAGAACUCUCCUCACCUGGUUGUCUAGUUGAAAGGAAAAAGCAAAAAAACUGCAGGCAAUGGGCCCUCCAUGGAAAUAGUUUGACACCCCUGCUUUACAGUGUCAGUUGGAGAAGGUUUACUGUGAUUUGGUUCCCU